rnacentral:misc_RNA from 1 species
UUUCCGUAGGUGAACCUGCGGAAGGAUCAUUAUCGUAAAACCGAGGUGCGAGGGCUGUCGCUGACCCGAAAGGUCGUGCACGCCCGAGUGUGUCCUCUUGCAUAAUAAUCCAUCUCACCCUUUGUGCAUCACCGCGUGGGCACCCUUCGGGAUCAUCUCGGAGGGGGGCUCGCGUUUUCACACAAACCCCCCUUUUAAAAGUGUAGAAUGACCACAUUUAUGCAAUCAAUACAACUUUCAACAACGGAUCUCUUGGCUCUC